GCCCCAUGGCAUGACGUGGGCCUCUGUGGGCAUCUUACUAGACAGUGCUGGAUUUUUGGAUGUACUCUAACACUGUCUGGUAACGAUGUUUAAAGAGGGAACCCAACCCCAGCAGGUGCC
rnacentral:pre_miRNA from 15 species